UUUUAAUCUUAUAUUCAUCAUUUCUUGAUUUCUCCUUCCUUCGCCUAAAAGAGGUCAGUCAGGACCGUCUCAAGAUCAUUCCUCAUUUACAUCUUUCCGGUCAACUGACGUCACCACCAGCCAGAAUAGUUGAUGUCGCAGCUGUCAGGACAACUAAUUCAGUUAGGGUGUUGCUGUCUUAUUUAAUUGAUGGUCUGAAUUGGGACUCCUUUUCUAUCUAUGCUUACACAACCCUCUUCCAUCAAUGUCCAUCAUCAUAAAUGCUACUCUGACAUAUCUCUAUUUCUCCUUUGCCUCCCCGUAUCGACCCUUUCCCAGGCUGCAUUCUUUCUUAAUUUUUUUUUUUAAUAGAAUUAAGGGUAUGUUUAGGUUUUCUAAUUUGAUUAUGUUUAAUUUGGCUUUCAGUGCUUAUUUGAGCCCUAAAGUGAUGUCUUCUUUCUCUAGAAGCUCCCUUUUACGUGAUUGAUCAUGUUUGGAUUUUAAAAUGAAGAACCGUAAUCGACUGAUAUGUUGAUUGUUUGAUAGUUUUGUUCUAAUUUUUUGGUUUUGGUGGUUUAACGGAAUCAAUCCUACAGUAUCGGGUGCGCCCAUUUCGAUUGUCAAAAUUGAUGCCAUGGAAGCCCAAAUUAAGAGUAAAUCUGUGGACAGAGCCAUUAAUGCUCUGAAGGAAGAAGAACCUGAUCUGGUUUUUACAUUUGAACCAGGUUCUGACCAAGCUUUGAAAUAAUAUCAGAUGAAAUGGAUAACGCUAAACAAUUUCUGGUAUUGUCAACUAAACCAAAAAAAAUGCUUUCAGGUUCAUUUGAAUUGAAUUUUUCAUCAUAAAAGGGUAUUAUUUACUCAAUUGGAGUAAGUUUGUAUAUAUGUGAAUCAAAUUUUCUCUAUUUUAGGCCCCUCCCUGUCUACUUACUGUUAUUUUUCUUAUGUCUUUUGUAAUCUCAAGUCACUUGUGUAUUUUGAAGCAAUAAUCAUUGACUUACUGGAGUUAAUUGA